rnacentral:pre_miRNA from 1 species
ACAACAUUCGGACCGUCGGUCUACCGAGCAAUAUCACCAGCUCGGUGGAAGAUCUUCUCUUUGUCGU